AGGAAAUUAGCUCAGAGGAAGAGCAAUCGUUUUACACGCGAUGAUGCGAAGGUUCGAUUCCUUCAUUUCCUA
rnacentral:tRNA from 1 species